rnacentral:rRNA from 1 species
GUUUGUUUGGAGUUAUAAAGAAUUUAACCUGCCCCCUGAUUAAUUAUUAAAGGGCCGCAGUAUUAUAACUGUGCAAAGGUAGCAUAAUCAUUAGGUUUUUAAUUGAAAUCUCGUAUGAAUGGUUGGACAAAAGAAAAACUCUCUUUAUAUUAAGUUUUGAAUUUAACUUUUAAGUGAAAAGGCUUAAAUGUCCUAAAGGGACGAUAAGACCCUAUAAAACUUUACAUUGUCAUUAAUUUUGAUUGAAUUUAUGAAAUAAGAAUUUUAUUUGGUUAUUUGUUAUGUUGGGGAGAUAUAAGUAAAAUAUUUUUUUAACUGCUUUGAUAAUUAUACAAUUAUAAAUGGUAAGUAGAAGAUCCUUUUUUAAGAUUAAUAGAUUAAGUUACUUUAGGGAUAACAGUGUGAUUUCUUUUGAGAGUUCUUAUCGAAAAAGAAGAUUGCAACCUCGAUGUUGAAUUAAAAUAUCUAUAUAAUGGAGAGGUUAUAUAAGAAGGUCUGUUCGACCUUGAAAUUUUUACAUGAUUUGAGUUCAAACCGGUGUAAG